rnacentral:rRNA from 1 species
UGGGGAAUAUUGCACAAUGGGCGCAAGCCUGAUGCAGCCAUGCCGCGUGUAUGAAGAAGGCCUUCGGGUUGUAAAGUACUUUCAGCGAGGAGGAAGGCGUUGUGGUUAAUAACCGCAACGAUUGACGUUACUCGCAGAAGAAGCACCGGCUAACUCCGUGCCAGCAGCCGCGGUAAUACGGAGGGUGCAAGCGUUAAUCGGAAUUACUGGGCGUAAAGCGCACGCUGGCGGUCUGGCAAGUCGGAUGUGAAAUCCCCGGGCUCAACCUGGGAACUGCAUCCGAAACUGGCAGGCUAGAGUCUUGUAGAGGGGGGUAGAAUUCCAGGUGUAGCGGUGAAAUGCGUAGAGAUCUGGAGGAAUACCGGUGGCGAAGGCGGCCCCCUGGACAAAGACUGACGCUCAGGUGCGAAAGCGUGGGGAGCAAACA